rnacentral:rRNA from 1 species
AUCCGGGUUGCGGACAGUGUCUGGUGGGUAGUUUGACUGGGGCGGUCUCCUCCUAAAGAGUAACGGAGGAGCACGAAGGUUGGCUAAUCCUGGUCGGACAUCAGGAGGUUAGUGCAAUGGCAUAAGCCAGCUUGACUGCGAGCGUGACGGCGCGAGCAGGUGCGAAAGCAGGUCAUAGUGAUCCGGUGGUUCUGAAUGGAAGGGCCAUCGCUCAACGGAUAAAAGGUACUCCGGGGAUAACAGGCUGAUACCGCCCAAGAGUUCAUAUCGACGGCGGUGUUUGGCACCUCGAUGUCGGCUCAUCACAUCCUGGGGCUGAAGUAGGUCCCAAGGGUAUGGCUGUUCGCCAUUUAAAGUGGUACGCGAGCUGGGUUUAGAACGUCGUGAGACAGUUCGGUCCCUAUCUGCCGUGGGCGCUGGAGAACUGAGGGGGGCUGCUCCUAGUACGAGAGGACCGGAGUGGACGCAUCACUGGUGUUCGGGUUGUCAUGCCAAUGGCACUGCCCGGUAGCUAAAUGCGGAAGAGAUAAGUGCUGAAAGCAUCUAAGCACGAAACUUGCCCCGAGAUGAGUUCUCCCUGAGACUUAGAG